AGGACGAACGCUGGCGGCGUGCCUAAUACAUGCAAGUCGAACGGUCUUUCUAUGGAAGCUUGCUUCCACUGAGAAGAUAGUGGCGAACGGGUGAGUAACACGUGGGUAACCUGUCCAUAAGAGGGGGAUAACAUCCGGAAACGGGUGCUAAUACCGCAUAGUUUUCUUGAUCGCAUGAUUGAGAAAGGAAGGACGGCCUUUGUGCUGUCGCUUAUGGAUGGACCCGCGGCGUAUUAGUUAGUUGGUGAGGUAACGGCUCACCAAGACGAUGAUACGUAGCCGACCUGAGAGGGUGAUCGGCCACAUUGGGACUGAGACACGGCCCAAACUCCUACGGGAGGCAGCAGUAGGGAAUCUUCCGCAAUGGACGAAAGUCUGACGGAGCAACGCCGCGUGAGUGAAGAAAAGGUUUUCGGAUCGUAAAACUCUGUUGUCAGAGAAGAACAAGUUGGAGAGUAACUGCUCCAGCCUUGACGGUAUCUGACCAGAAAGCCACGGCUAACUACGUGCCAGCCGCCGC
rnacentral:rRNA from 1 species